ACGCUGGCGGCGUGCUUAACACAUGCAAGUCGAACGAUGAAGCCUAGCUUGCUAGGUGGAUUAGUGGCGAACGGGUGAGUAAUACGUGAGUAACCUACCUUUAACUCUGGGAUAAGCCUGGGAAACUGGGUCUAAUACCGAAUACGACCAAUCUCCGCAUGGGGUGUUGGUGGAAAGCGUUAUGUAGUGGUUAUAGAUGGGCUCACGGCCUAUCAGCUUGUUGGUGAGGUAACGGCUCACCAAGGCGACGACGGGUAGCCGGCCUGAGAGGGUGACCGGCCACACUGGGACUGAGACACGGCCCAGACUCCUACGGGAGGCAGCAGUGGGGAAUAUUGCACAAUGGGCGCAAGCCUGAUGCAGCGACGCCGCGUGAGGGAUGACGGCCUUCGGGUUGUAAACCUCUGUUAGCAGGGAAGAAGAGAAAUUGACGGUACCUGCAGAGAAAGCGCCGGCUAACUACGUGCCAGCAGCCGCGGUAAUACGUAGGGCGCGAGCGUUGUCCGGAAUUAUUGGGCGUAAAGAGCUUGUAGGCGGUUUGUCGCGUCUGCUGUGAAAGGCCGGGGCUUAACCCCGUGUAUUGCAGUGGGUACGGGCAGACUAGAGUGCAGUAGGGGAGACUGGAACUCCUGGUGUAGCGGUGGAAUGCGCAGAUAUCAGGAAGAACACCGAUGGCGAAGGCAGGUCUCUGGGCUGUAACUGACGCUGAGAAGCGAAAGCAUGGGGAGCGAACAGGAUUAGAUACCCUGGUAGUCCAUGCCGUAAACGUUGGGCACUAGGUGUGGGGGACAUUCCACGUUUUCCGCGCCGUAGCUAACGCAUUAAGUGCCCCGCCUGGGGAGUACGGCCGCAAGGCUAAAACUCAAAGAAAUUGACGGGGGCCCGCACAAGCGGCGGAGCAUGCGGAUUAAUUCGAUGCAACGCG
rnacentral:rRNA from 1 species